CAAGCGUUAUCCGGAAUGAUUGGGCGUAAAGCGUCCGCAGGUGGCAGUUCAAGUCUGCUGUCAAAGACCGGGGCUUAACUUCGGAAAGGCAGUGGAAACUGAACAGCUAGAGUAUGGUAGGGGCAGAGGGAAUUCCUGGUGUAGCGGUGAAAUGCGUAGAGAUCAGGAAGAACAUCGGUGGCGAAGGCGCUCUGCUGGACCAUAACUGACACUCAGGGACGAAAGCUAGGGGAGCGAAUGGGAUUAGAUACCCCAGUAGUCCUAGCCGUAAACGAUGGAUACUAGGUGUUGUCUGUAUCGACCCGGACAGUGCCGUAGCUAACGCGUUAAGUAUCCCGCCUGGGGAGUACGCACGCAAGUGUGAAACUCAAAGGAAUUGACGGGGCCCGCACAAGCAGCGGAGCAUGUGGCUUAAUUCGAUGAUACGCGAGGAACCUUACGUCGACGCGGCCGAGUCGUGGAGG
rnacentral:rRNA from 1 species